GAUGAACGCUAGCGGCAGGCCUAACACAUGCAAGUCGAGGGGCAGCGAGAUCAAAGCUUGCUUUGAUUGUCGGCGACCGGCGCACGGGUGCGUAACGCGUAUGCAACCUACCCAAAACAGGGGGAUAACACUGAGAAAUUGGUACUAAUACCCCAUAACAACAGAAGAGGCAUCUCUUUUGUUUGAAAACUCCGGUGGUUUUGGAUGGGCAUGCGUUGUAUUAGCUAGUUGGUGAGGUAACGGCUCACCAAGGCGACGAUACAUAGGGGGACUGAGAGGUUAACCCCCCACAUUGGUACUGAGACACGGACCAAACUCCUACGGGAGGCAGCAGUGAGGAAUAUUGGUCAAUGGACGCAAGUCUGAACCAGCCAUGCCGCGUGCAGGAUGACGGCUCUAUGAGUUGUAAACUGCUUUUGUAUGAGGGUAAACUCAUCUACGUGUAGGUGACUGAAAGUAUCAUACGAAUAAGGAUCGGCUAACUCCGUGCCAGCAGCCGCGGUAAUACGGAGGAUUCAAGCGUUAUCCGGAAUUAUUGGGUUUAAAGGGUGCGUAGGCGGUUUGAUAAGUUAGAGGUGAAAUAUUAGGGCUUAACCCCUGAAACUGCCUCUGAUACUGUCGAGCUAGAGAGUAGUUGCGGUAGGCGGAAUGUAUGGUGUAGCGGUGAAAUGCUUAGAGAUCAUACAGAACACCGAUUGCGAAGGCAGCUUACCAAACUAUAUCUGACGUUGAGGCACGAAAGCGUGGGUAGCAAACAGGAUUAGAUACCCUGGUAGUCCACGCAGUAAACGAUGAUAACUCGCUGUCGGCGAUACACAGUCGGUGGCCAAGCGAAAGCGAUAAGUUAUCCACCUGGGGGGUACGUUCGCAAGAAUGAAACUCAAAGGAAUUGACGGGGGCCCGCACAAGCGGAGGAACAUGUGGUUUAAUUCGAUGAUACGCGAGGAACCUUACCCGGGCUUGAAAGUUACUGACGAUUCUGGAAACAGGAUUUCCCUUCGGGGCAGGAAACUAGGUGCUGCAUGGUUGUCGUCAGCUCGUGCCGUGAGGUGUCGGGUUAAGUCCCAUAACGAGCGCAACCCCUACCGUUAGUUGCCAUCAGGUGAAGCUGGGCACUCUGGCGGGACUGCCGGUGUAAGCCGAGAGGAAGGUGGGGAUGACGUCAAAUCAGCACGGCCCUUACGUCCGGGGCUACACACGUGUUACAAUGGUAGGUACAGAGGGCAGCUACCCAGCGAUGGGGUGCAAAUCUCGAAAACCUAUCUCAGUUCGGAUUGGAGGCUGAAACUCGCCUCCAUGAAGUUGGAUUCGCUAGUAAUCGCGCAUCAGCCAUGGCGCGGUGAAUACGUUCCCGGGCCU
rnacentral:rRNA from 1 species